rnacentral:misc_RNA from 1 species
UCUCCGUAGGUGAACCUGCGGAGGGAUCAUUACUGAUUUAAGAACACAGCGAAAGCUUUCCGAAGGGAACGAGCUUGCUGUGUGAAGCCUACCGACCCUUGCUUUCCGCGUACCCACUGCUUCCCCGGCAGGCUUGUUUGCCAGUAGGACCUCAAUACUCCCUUUGUAAUUACAGUUAUCGUCAGAAACAACGUAAUCGUUAUAACUUUCAACAACGGAUCCCUUGGUUCUGGCAUCGCGGAAGAACGCAGCAGACCGGACGAGCACACGUCUGAACUC